rnacentral:rRNA from 1 species
UACGGAGGGGGCUAGCGUUGUCCGAAGUUACUGGGCGUAAAGCGCGCGUAGGCGGGUUGGUAAGUCCGCUGUGAAAGCCCGGAGCUUAACUCCGGAGGGUCGGUGGAUACUGCCAGCUUGAUGGAGGCUAGGGGGAGAUGGAAUUACCGGUGUAGCGGUGAAAUGCGUAGAUAUCGGUAGGAACACCAGUGGCGAAGGCGGCUCGCUGGGCCAUUCUUGACGCUGAGACGCGAAAGCUAGGGGAGCGAACAGG